GGCUGAUAAGACGGAAGGACUUAGUACCUUUCCUUAUACAGCUAGUAAGGGGCAAAGCCAGAAUUUGAACCUGGCCUUCUAACCCCACCUAUACUUUCCCAUACACCCACGGUCCCCUAAGGAGGCCGGCUGCUACUCUGGUGGCUACUUAAGCUCAAACUCAAGCUUGACCUCUGCUAUGGCUCCAGACUGGCUCUACUGAGCUUCCAGACUCUUCUCUCCCAGGUGCUCUGCUCAGUCCUUCUUCCUAGUGAUUUUUGCUGAGAAUCCUAGGCUCUGAGAGCUGAACGGGACUUCAGAAGUCACCCAGUUCCCCCUCCCCUGGAGUCUGAACCUCUUGCCUGAUCCUCACAGCUUCCUUGGAGGAGGCUGCAACAGCUGGCCUCCCUUGGCCUCUGGGCAGGAGGCUGGAAGGCUGGAGUAGAAAGGAGGUUGUUCAUGCUCUCUUGCUUCCUCCCUUCCUGGCCUCAGUUUGCCGGUGUGGCGAAGUUCUGGGAACUCUGUCUCCUUGAGGAGCACCACAAACAAUGGCCAGAUUUUGGAGCAGAGAUACCGACAUCCUUUACUCCCGACCCCUAGCAAAGGGAGCACUGUCUGGGAACGCUGUCAGAAUCUCAGUCAGGCAGCGUGGACUCAUAAUCAGUAACAAUUCCGUGGGGAAAUAAGAGUGCCAGGAAGGGAA